rnacentral:lncRNA from 1 species
GGCAGGGAGACUCAUAUAUAAACAAGGGCAAGAAGGAAGUGGGCGCCUUCUCUCUUCCUCCAGAGUCACCAUGUGAUCCCUCAAUGAGGACACCAAUGGAAGGCAUCAUAAAUAAGAUAAGUCAUAUAAAAUAUAUAGAUUUAUGAUAAUUAAGACUGAGCUAACAGAUGAGAAAUCCUAGUCAUUGGCCAAGCAGCAUUUGUACCUAGUGUCUCUGUGUAUCAUUUGAGGCCCUAAUGCAGUGAGCAGAACUCAAGAGGGUAGUGGAAAGAUUUAUUGUAACAUUACUGAUUUUCUUUUUUUUUUUAAAUUUAUGUGUAAAAGUCUUUUGUCCGCACGUAUGUAUGUGCAUCACCUGCAUACCUGGUGUCCAGGAAGGUCAGAAGAGGGCAACCAAUUCCCUGGGGUUGGAGUUACAGAUAGUUAUGAGCAGCCUCGUGGGUGCUGGGAAUUAAACCUAGGUCCUUUGCAAGAACACAAAGUAUUUGUAACCACUGAGCAAUCUCUCCAGCAGCCCCCUCCCAUUUCCUUUGUAUUGUUAAGAGGAGUUUCAUAAGAGAAACUCAGAAGACAAGGGUGUGUGUGUGUGUGUGUGUGUUUGUGUGUGUGUGUGUGUGUGUGUGUGUGUGUGUGUGUGUGUGUGUGGUGUGUGUUUCCAUUUUCUGUAUUUGUGACAACAUGCCUAAUGCUGGCUAUUUUAUAAGCUCAUAAUUUUGGAUGUUGAAAAUCCAAGACCUAACAACUAUGCCUCUGGUGUCACAAUGUAGUGGCAUCUUGGCUUAUAAAACUGAGAGAUCUUACAGUUAAACAAAAGCCAAAGAGCAAGGAGAGAUAAAGUUUUUCUUGUGGCUGAAGCCUACCUGCCUGGAGCUUGCCUGGACUGGAUCAAUGGUUCUGCCAUCUAAAGAGAUUCAUUUGGCUUCAACCCCCAAUUGUGUGUUUACUCUUCAUGUCCCAGUCUAAAACUAGGGGGACAGCACCUAUGUCAGAGGAUUGGCACGAUCAUGAAGGACCUCUACGGUGCUUGCCUUUAUUGCAUUGUCCUGGCAUCACAGUUGUAUUUACUGUUAGCGGAUCAUGAAUCCCUGGAGGGCAAAGCCCUUGUUUUACCACAUACAGCAGUAACCACUAUAUUAAUGCUUAUGAGAGUAAAUGUGAAGUCCAUUCUGACCCCUUCACUCUGGUGAGAUGCUCAGAUAGCGUCUGUGUCACCCCAAUUCUUCGUGCUCUGCCUUUGCCAUUUCUUUACAUAACACCAGUGGUUUCCCGCCUCCCAAAAUAGACUAAUUCAAUUAUUCUGUAUUUAUCAGUUAGAACCAAUGGAAUGAAAAUAAGCUGCCAUAGCACAAAACCCCCAGAUGUUUGGGGUUAGUUUUCUAACACAGUGUUCAACUAUUUUACUUAUUUAAUGUUUUUUUUUCUUAAGAAACAAAACAAAACCAGUCUGCCCUGGGAUUUGGAAAUAGGAUCCGAUUCUCUUGGAGCCUCCCGCUCACUGCUGGGAGCCGUGUGGGCAUGAGGGACAGACAGAGAUGCUGUAAAGAGGACCCCCUGCCUCCUGUCUGCAGACCAUAAUCCCUUCCUGAAGAGGAGGAUGCCUGUAUGUCUACUGGUGUGGCCCCAAAGGACACCUCUUGGCAAUGGAUGUGUUAUUGCAUUGAUAACAGACAACGGGUGAUGUUCCAGGAAAUUCUCUUCGAACAAAAGAAUUGGGGCUGCAGACACCUGACGCAUGAGUGUCUGGGAAGGUAUCCAGUUUCCUCAUAUCACCCCACCCAGGUCAGGCUCUCUCGUGUGACAUAGUCAGGGUAGAAAUAGAGAACUUGAUUGUUGCACAUUGAUGUCAAAGACCAACCGGGCUGGAGCUGCACCGAUUGUUAGAGUCACAGGGCUGAGAGCUUCUGUGCUUUCUGACCUGAAACCACUGCAAACAAAGGAGGAGAAGAUACAAACACAGGGCUGUCAGCAGUGUAAGUUGUUAGAGUCAGGGGCUCCUUGUAUUCUGUGUGCCAUCGACUGCUUUCUCCAAGAUUGAAAAGACACUUACCGUCCUAACACAGAGCUGGGGCGGUUCUGACAAUUCACAUGAGUCUGACAUGCAUAUUGCUUGAGCUAUAUAAAGAAGAAAAAUUUAAAAGUGGCUAUCUUUUGUCUUCAUCUCAAAGAAGGCUCAGGAACUGACAUCCAGGUGGUUAAAAGCAUUACCACACUUCUAAAUGACAUGAUAUAAAGUGUGUGUUUGAGAUUGCAAGAGAAUCCAUUUUCUCCCAUGGGCAUUAACAAAAAUAUUUCAAUCUAGGUGGAAGGGAACAUGGUCCAUCAGAAUUUCUUUUCUUUCUUUUUUUUUUUAAAAAAAACUUGUCUAAUAUAAAAUGCUAACUGCUAAGGCAGGUGUGGUGGUGCCCACCUUUAAUCCCAGAACUUGGGAGGCCAAGUCAGGCAGAUCUCUACAUAAUUCCAGGACAGCCAGGACUACAUAAUGAGACCCCAUCUAAAAAAAAACCCAAAGCAAAGCAAAAACAAAAAUCCAACAACAGCAAUAAGCUAUCUGCUGCUCUGCCUUGUGGUGUUGACAGCAAGCACAGCACAUGUACCCCACUUCUGGUCAUUUUUCCCUCUUUGAGACAGGGUUUUGCUGUGUAGCCUAGGCUAGCCUUGAAUGCAGGCAGCUCCUGCCUCCCAAGUGCCAGGAUUAUAGAAGUCUGCCAUCAAACCCAGAAAUCUGAUCAUGUUUAAAGCCAGGUAUAGGAACAAGACAACAUACCCUUUCAGACUUACAAAAGAGGAUGUUUGGGUGCCAAGUGUCCUCUGAUUCUGGUCGAUCUUGACUUGUUUGUGCUUUAGCUCCUUCUGCUCUUACCUCUCUGAAUUUCUCCAUCUCUCUGAUUAUCUUUGGUUCCAAUUACUCCCUGACACUCACAUCCCUGCCCUCCCUCUAAGGCAGUGGUUCUCAACCUUCCUAGCCCUGCAGCUCUUUUGUACAAUUCCUCAUGCUGUGGUGACUCCCUAUCAUAAAAUUAUUUUCCUUGCUACGUCAUAACUAUAUGUUAUGAAUCGUAGUGCAAAUAUCUGUGUUUUCUGAUAGUCUUAGGUAACCCCUGUGAAAGGGUCACUUGCUCUCUUUUGCUAUUUCCCGUGAUCCUACUGAUGUUCAAGCAGAGAUCAACCCUGACCUUUGUCCCCCUCAAGUAAGGAGCAAACACCAGUGCCAGAUUACAAUGGCACUGGAAAGAUUGGGGACAUGGUCUCUUCUCUGGCAUAUGCAGCUUUUUCCACAGCCUCUCAACCAUCACUCACUGCCUUUCCCAAAGUACUUCCAAGGGCAGGAAACUCCCAACUUCUCAGGACUGUCCUUUCUGUUUUUGUUUUCAUUUUUUCUGACAACUUUAUCAGAAAGCACAAGUUGUCAACAAGCCCAAGAGCCCUGCAGUCUUCUGUUUCCUUCAGAGUGCUGAUGUAUGGCAUAAACUCCAAGGCAGCUGUCACCACGCCCUCUCCCUGUCACUUGCCCAGAGCAGAGCCUCAGCCCUCAACAGAAAUUAAUCUCUUCCACUUUUCACCACCAUAGUUCCUUGUGCUUUUCCAGCCUCUGGUCAUUCAUGCUCAACAGAUAAGUGAUAGCCAUAGCCAUGACUGGAACAUGGGCAGCUUUCCAGGGUGGCCAGAUAUAGCCCAUUAUCACCACAGCUACAGUGCAUGGGCUCAUUGAGAAGUUACUGGACACUUUAUCAAUGAGGAAGGCAGGCCUAGGGACACUGGCGCUGGGCUUCGUGCGAAGGAAUGGAGGUGAAGAUGACGUCUCCUGAGAUAGCAGCAACUGCUUAUCUGACACGUUUGUCAGGUGUCAAUGCAUGUCAUCCGAGAUGGAGACGAACUAUAAAUGCAUAGCCUGAAAGAUAGUAAAUGAUUUAUAAGUGAGGAAGAGACCCAUGAGAGAUUCAGACUGGACAAAGGUCAUGUAGGGAGGCCAUGGCAGAGGUCAUGUAGGGAUAUGAUGGAGGAGGUCAUGUGGAGAGACCAUGGUGAAAGCUCUGAUUUCCAUAAAGCAAGAGAAAGUCCCCAUGCCCUUUGCAAACUGCACUGGACUUCAUGAGGAAAGAAAGGGUAUUUGGAAUUUGUCCUGUUUGAUAAAACCUAGCAUCACAGUUCAAAACCUCAGAGACUGUGCAACUUCCUCUUAAGUUGUCUCAAAUGUGUGGGCUACAGUGGCCCUUGGGACAGGUUUAACCAGACAGAUCUAUGAUUCCCAAUGGCAAAAGGUUCAGGUGUGGGAGUGGUCAGCCAACAAGAAGCACCUAAACUUUCUACACCAGACAGAAUGCCCUCCCCAUGAGGGGAAUGAGUGUGUCAGAUGUGAGAAUGACCAGGACUGAAUAUUGGAUCCCCCACCCCUCAAUAUUCAGAGAUCAGGGCAGUGAGGAGACUCAAAUGGAGAGGACAGGCAUGCUCAGUGAGGGCCAGCAAUCCCAGGAGAUUCAUCUUUGGAAGGGCAGACAGUGCUUCAGAAAGGAAGGAGCUCAGGGCUGACAGAUCAAGAAACAGCUGGAGUCCUGGGGGACAGAUCUAUCUCCCAGCUUAGCCUUCACAAGGCCCUAGUUGAAUCUAUAGUGCAGUUUCACUUGAAAAGGUGGUGGCUCACGCCUUUAAUCCCAGCACUUGGGAGGCAGAGGCAGAGGCAAAGGCAGGCAGAUCUCCGUAAGUUCAAGACUAGCCUGGUCUACAAGAGCUAGUUAUAGGACAGCCUCCAAAGCCACAGAAAAACCCUGCCUAGAACCACCACCACCACCCCCAUAAAAGGAAGGAAAAUGAAAGAAGGAGACAACACAGAAUGAUACUGGCAC